rnacentral:sRNA from 1 species
GCUGGGCACAGUGUCGCCCGCCUGUAAUCCUAGCCCUUGGGAGGCUGAGGAAGGAGAAUCACGAGUUCAAAGCCAACCUCAGCAAAAGCAAGGCACUAAGCAACUCAGUGAGAACCUGUCUCUA